rnacentral:rRNA from 1 species
UAGAGUUUGAUCCUGGCUCAGAUUGAACGCUGGCGGCAUGCCUUACACAUGCAAGUCGAACGCGAAAGGGGGGCAACCCCCAAGUAGAGUGGCGGACGGGUGAGUAAUACAUCGGAACGUACCCAGUAGUGGGGGACAACCUCGAGAAAUCGAGGCUAAUACCGCAUACGACCCACGGGUGAAAGCGGGGGACCGCAAGGCCUCGCGCUAUUGGAGCGGCCGAUGUCCGAUUAGCUAGUUGGUGGGGUAAGAGCCCACCAAGGCGACGAUCGGUAGCUGGUCUGAGAGGACGACCAGCCACACUGGGACUGAGACACGGCCCAGACUCCUACGGGAGGCAGCAGUGGGGAAUUUUGGACAAUGGGGGCAACCCUGAUCCAGCCAUGCCGCGUGCGGGAAGAAGGCCUUCGGGUUGUAAACCGCUUUUGUCAGGGAAGAAAAGCUCUGGGCUAAUACCCCGGGGUGAUGACGGUACCUGAAGAAUAAGCACCGGCUAACUACGUGCCAGCAGCCCCGGUCA